rnacentral:lncRNA from 1 species
CUCUGCAUAUUGCUAUAAGAAAUGUUCUCAUGUGGAUAUGAAGAGUUAUGUCACAGGGGGAAUAAUAAUGUGAUAGAGAUAUUUAAAAGGAUAUACAAAUAUGGGAAAAUCUGCAAAGUAUACAAGAAAAAGGGAAAUGGCAAAAUAAUACAUUCUGAGAUAUUUAAUUCUUUUUAAUCCUCAUAGAUAUGAGCACAAAUACAUUAGAAAGGGCCUGGUAUAAUCCAUACCAAGGUAAUAAGAAUCAUUAUUUCUGAGGAGAGGCAGGCAAAUGCAUGGAAGGGAAUCUCAGCUUGCCAUACAGUUAGGUGCAGCUUUGGGCUGUUGCCUUAGCAACAAGUGCAGGCGUUUCCAAGCCCAGGGAGGCCCUGAUGUUCCCAGCAACCACCCUGGGGAUCAGGUCAUCCAACCUGGGUACAGAGUUUGACCAAUGAAGGCAGGAGACAGGAGGAGGUGCUUCAACUGUGCCUGGUUCCCUAGAGAUGUCCUGCAGGACCAUCUGGAUCCUUUAUUUUUUGUGAACCUGAGGCUUACUAGGAGUUUGGAAAGUGCUCCACCAGAAAGCUACUCCAUAUCAAUUCCAAGGUCAUCCUUCUUCUGCCAACCUCUGCCUCCCUCGGCCCCGCCCUGCCCCAGUCACCUACAGCUGCACCUCAUCCAGUCCCAGAGCCAAUGAUGCCUAAGGAAGGAAAAUGAUUCAGAAGAAGGAACCUGGGAUAAGCUGUGUUGCUGCUGACAUGAGCCUGCAGUGAAUCCAGCACCUUCACACCUGCUAGGUCACGACCUUCUGUCUUCCCUGCCCCUAACGCUUCCUCUGGGGGACUGGGGCUGCAGUCCCCUCAGUCAGGAGCAGGGGGCUCACUUUCUAACUGAUAGAUUAUCUAGAACCCAAUACCCUGCCCAUCCUCUUUGUAAGAUCUGUCAAUAGCAACACCAUCCCCGCUCACUCACAGCUCAGAGGUCCUCAGUGUCACUGUACACAGGUACACCCGGAAGCUUGUGAAAAGUACUAUCCCCACCUGUGGAUUCAGAUUUGACCACUCAUCCCUUUUGACAUCCCAGCUGGCUUUGCAGCUGUGCCAACCAACCCAUGACAUCGACAGUCCUUCCACAUCCCUCCUAUCACAUUGAAAGCAUCCUUUAUUGCAGGACAUGUGGUCUCUGGCAACCUACCAAGACUGUAAAUUGUGCCAGACUUCCAAUUGCAGUACAGAUGAAGGCUUCUACAUAUAUUGGGCUGUUAACAAUUUUUAUAUAUGAUGGAAUGAAUAGUAGCCUUUAACAAAGGAGGAAAUGCUCCCAUCUUCAUUUCACAUCUACAAUGUGAGUGAACCCGGAGGACAUUAUGCUAAGUGAAAUAAAUCAGGCACAGAAAAGACAGAUCAUGUAUCUCACUGAUAUGCAGGAUCUUAUAAAAAAUGUGAAUAAAUCAAAACAGAGAGUAAAAUGGUAGUUACCAGGGGAUGGGGGUGGGGAGAGGUAAGUCACAGAGUGACUUAUUCAACAUGGAUUGCAUAUGUCUAGAAAUCUAAUGUACAGCAUUACAACUAUAGCAAAUAGUUAACAUGUAGUUAAUAGUAUUAUUUUUGAGGGGUUUUUUUUUUGGUACUGGGGGUCAAACUCGGGACCUUGUGCUUGCGAGGCAGGUGGCGGAACCUCUGAGCUAAAUCUCCAGCCCAAUAAUAUUGUUUUAUAUGUGACAUUUUACUAGGAGAAUAGAUUUUAGGUGCUCUUACCACUCACAGUAUGGAAGGUAUGGAUCUGUGACUUCGUUAAUUAUCAUUUCACUGCAUUCAGAUCUCACUGGUUGAAUCAACCAAUCAAAAUAUCGGUGUGUGGAGGGGGGUGUUCCAGAAAGUUUCAAAAAGCAAAACUGGAAUUUCCCACACCAAGCCCUACACUGACCCCUCACCCAUGAAAAAAUGCAUGUGCACACCCCGCCUCAGCCUCCUGCCAUUUCACGGCCCCUCGGGCUUCCCAGGACUUGUUGUUUGAGCACUGUCUGCCUGUGUCUUGUUCGUCACUGUCACUGGGGUACAGUGGCUGAACGGGCACCAUUCUUUUUCUUGUCAUUCAUUACUCCCUAAACAUUACAGUAUAGCAACUACUUACAUCGCACUUGCAUGAUAUCAUGUAUUCUAAGUCAUCUAGAGCUGAUCUGGAACAUACAAGAGGAUGUGCAUAGAUCACCUGCAAGCACUGUACCGUUUUGUGUGAGGGACUUGAGCCUCCAGAGAUGUUGGUAUCCUCAGAGGUCUUCGAGUCAGUCCCUGCCGACACUACCUGUAAAGUAUCUCAAAGCAUCGUGGUGUACAAGACAAUAAAAAUAAAUUAAUGGCUAAAAAGUCAACUAUAUCUGGCAGUGACAAAAGGCUCAUGUAAGGGAUAUGCACUGUGAAAGAAAAAUACAUGGAUACUUCAAGCCUGAGGAAUAUUUAAUGAACUACAGUCUCACAGAAAUAGGCAAAUUAGCAUAAGAGGCAAAAUAGAAUCCAAUUUUUUUGUAUCUGUUUCAUUUGGUCUAUCUCCAUCCUCUUCAUGCUGCAGCAGAAAAUAUUUCAAUGUUUAAGUUUAGAAGGAAGUUUCACCCCUGGCUUUAUAUAGCAGGCUGCGCUGCAGGCAGAGCCUGAACCCCGUCUUGUGGGCAGAGAGCCCGCUGCACCGCAGCCUCUGCGUGCUGGGCGGAUCCUGACAGCCAGGGCUGCAAUGGCCCAGCUCCAUUUCCUCUCCGAGGAGGCGUCCAGGCCUCACCUCCGCCUGGCCUCUUCCCGCCCCUCGUUCCCUGCUGGGCUCCCUUCCUGAGUCUGUCACCUUGAUUCACAAGACCUAACACUGGGACCCAUAUUAGCACGAGAGCAUGACAGCAAGCAAUACGGUCUGUGGGAAAAGCCUUCCGCUUUCUCCUUUCUCUGCAAUUAUCACUCAACUGCUUCAGUAAACAACAAAAGUGUUCCACACACACAUCAUGACCACUUACAACAUUAACAUAGUCCAGAGGUCAGGAAGGCAAACACAGGUUGGUUUGAGUUUUUGAAAUGAUUUGCUCUCCCCGGUCAAACUUCCCCUAACCCUUUCUUUCCUGGGCAAAACUGAAGACAAGGGGCCAGGCAGAUGUCAAGCUAGCAUCUCCUACCCACACAGGAAAAGAUGUUAGAGAGACAAAAUGAGGAAAAGGCAACGCUGUGUGAGGCCUCUGUCUGGGCGAGGAGGGUGUGGAGUUGCACUUCCCAUUGAAGAUCUCCAGGAACUCAGCUUCAGGACCUUCCUGGGCCUCUGCCAUUUUGAUCCGUCCUCCCCGGCCAUAAGGCUUAUGGAUUCUAUCUGAAUCCAGGCCAAGUGCCAAAUAAAGAGUCCUUGAUGAAUAGCUUCUUGUUCAUCUCUUCAGAUUAUAGUCUUGAUUUUGAUUAGCCACCCUACUAAGUGGACAUAAGUUCUUAGCACAACCAGGGCAGAAUAAGAACAGUCAGACCCAACAGGCUGGAGCUGACAGAACCCUUUCAGACCACAGGCCACCAUUCCUCACUCCAGGGGCUCAUGAGCACUGUACCCUUUGUGGAUAGGGCUAUAGAGCUGAUCAUACCCUGGAAUCCCUCAAUGUCAGGAAACAUAGCUUCUAGGCCAAUGCUCUCUGCUAAUGGGCAGCCGCUCCAGAUGAAAAGACAUUCUCCAUGAUCUUGAAAUGUGUCCUAAAAGAAGUCAUGAGGAUCAGUCAUGAAUGAGCAGAUUUUGUGGGCUAGACAAUUUCCAUAGCUAACACAAAGUUUAUAGGUCUGAAAAAUUCGAAUGGCCAUGACACUAGAAAAGUAGCACAUAUCUGAGAAAUGUCCCAGCUGAUCUUUCCAAAUUCAAAUUUAAGAACUAUGCUAGUCAAAGAAACUAUAGCUCAAGACUGGGUUCAAUAUCCUGGCAACCAGUUUGCAAUUCCUGGACCAAAAGAACAAAUAAAACAGGAGAAAAGAAUAAAUAAGAACCAAGUAUUUUGUUCUACACUGGCACCACACACUCGGAUGUAAAGUGUCAUCCAGACCAUGAAAAAUGAUCCGCAUAUUUUCAAGAUGUUUCUCUAGGAAUCAGCAUGGGCUCCACCCUCUACCCUCAUCUCCUUUGAGGUCAGCAAACCCUUGUGAAACAUGUAGCUAACUUUAGAAAUGAAUUGUGGCUGUGGACAGGAGGGGCUUCUUCUAUUGAAACUAAUUGGAUUGGACAUUUUGUUUAAUCC